AACGAACGCUGGCGGCAUGCCUAACACAUGCAAGUCGAACGAGACCUUCGGGUCUAGUGGCGCACGGGUGCGAAACGCGUGGGAACCUGCCCUUAGGUUCGGAAUAACUCCCCGAAAGGGGUGCUAAUACCGGGUAAUGUCUUCGGACCAAAGAUUUAUCGCCUUUGGAUGGGCCCGCGUUGGAUUAGCUAGUUGGUAGGGUAAAAGCCUACCAAGGCGACGAUCCAUAGCUGGUCUGAGAGGAUGAUCAGCCACACUGGGACUGAGACACGGCCCAGACUCCUACGGGAGGCAGCAGUGGGGAAUAUUUGACAAGGGGCGAAAGGCUGCUCCAGCAAUGGCGCGUGAGCGAUGAAGGCCUUAUGGUUGUAUAGCUCUUUUACCCGGGAUGAUAAUGACAGUACCGGGAGAAUAAGCUCCGGCUAACUCCGUG
rnacentral:rRNA from 1 species